rnacentral:rRNA from 1 species
AGAAUCAACGCUGGCGGCGUGCCUAACACAUGCAAGUCGAACGAGAAAGUGGUAGCAAUACCAUGAGUAAAGUGGCGCACGGGUGAGUAACACGUGACUAACCUACCCUUGAGUGGGGGAUAACUGAGGGAAACCUUAGCUAAUACCGCAUAAUACCCACGGGUCAAAGGAGCAAUUCGCUCGAGGAGGGGGUCGCGGCCGAUUAGUUAGUUGGCGGGGUAAUGGCCCACCAAGACGAUGAUCGGUAUCCGGCCUGAGAGGGCGCACGGACACACUGGAACUGAAACACGGUCCAGACUCCUACGGGAGGCAGCAGUGGGGAAUUUGCGCAAUGGGGGAAACCCUGACGCAGCAACGCCGCGUGGAGGAUGAAGUCCUUCGGGACGUAAACUCCUUUCGAUCGGGACGAUUAUGACGGUACGGAAGAAGAAGCCCGGCUAACUUCGCGCCAGCAGCCGC